rnacentral:rRNA from 1 species
AUAUUUAAGUAUUAAAUUUGUUGUUUUAUACCUAGUUUUACAUUUAAAAAGUAGUCAAAAUAAAAAAACUUUAAAAUUUUAUGAACUGUUAUAUGUAGUUUUAUGUUUUUUAAUUAAUGUUAAAAUAUUUAAUUAAUAAUGAUACAGUUGUCCUAUAUGUACCUCUAAAAAAUAGUAAGAUUAAUUUAAUUAAUUUAAUAAAAACUUGUUUAUACAAUAUAUAAAUAAUAUGAAAAAUUUAAAAAUUAAUCAUUUAAACUAAUAUUUAUUUAAAAAAAAAAACAAAAUUGAAAAUUAAUAUUGCAAAAAUAAUUUGUAGUUAAAUGAAAAAAAUAAAAUACUUAGUAACUAAAUAAAAAAAAUUAAAAAAUUUAGUAUUUAGUACAUGUUUUUAUAAAAGUAAACAAAAUAAAAUAAAGUAUUAAUGUUAAAUAUAUAUUUUUAAAAAUAUGUGUUUGUUGAUAAUAAAAAAUUUAAAUUUUAAAAACGUUUAUUAUAGGCGUUGUUCUAAGUAUAUUAUUUAAGUGUAUUCUUGUAAAUAAAUUUUAAAAUUAAUAGUCCUAAUUAAAAAAAAUAUACCCAUAAUUAUUAAUAUAGUAGCAUAGUAAUUUGUUAACUAAAUAUUAAAGUGUUCCAUAGAAAAUUUUAAAAUUAAAACAAAUAAAGUAAAAAUAGAAAUAAAAUAAAAAUUUUAAAAAAAAUUAAAAAAUUAAAAUAGGGCAAGUCCUACUCUCCUUUACAAAGAGAACCUUUAUGUAUAGGUAAUUGUAUGUUUGAUUGGGGCAAUACUAUAUUUAGUUAUAUAGAAAAAGAACUAUAUUUAUUGAAAUUAUAAAAGGUUCGAGCAGGUUAACAAGCAUUCAAAUUAAAUGUGUUUCAUCGUCUACUUAUUGCUGAAAAUUGAUUGUUCAUCAAAAAUGCAAUUCGUUAGUUGGGUUAAAAUCGUUGUAAAGCAGAUUUGUUUAUAUAUUUAAUUAGUGUAAUAAUUAAAAAAUUAAGUAUAGUACGCAAGGAUA